rnacentral:pre_miRNA from 13 species
UUGGCCACCUGGCACUGAGAACUGAAUUCCAUAGGCUGUGAGCUCUAGCAAUGCCCUGUGGACUCAGUUCUGGUGCCCGGCAGUGCUAC